rnacentral:tRNA from 1 species
GGCGAGAUAUCCGAGCGGUCCAAGGCCCUGGUUUUAGGCACCAGUCCCAUCCGUGGCGUUGGUUCGAAUUCCACUCUCGUCA